GUGGUUUGGUUCGCCAAGCAGUCGAACAGGAUGGCUGACCAGAGCAGGCAAAUUAAACUCGCUGCGGCUAAGAAAAAGCUGAAGGAGUUUCAGCAGAAGAGCUCCCCUCUAAGUGGAGGAGGAGAAGAAACGGGAGGUGGUGGAGUAGGAGCCAAAAAGAAGAGAAAAGUCAAGGGAGGGAACCAAACCGACGCCCCUUCGUCGGACAGGAGUCCUCCGUACAACUAUGACAAUAUUCUAAACGCUCUCCAUCAGAGCAAUGGAAUAGUCCUGCCUGCCUAUGGCAAAUGUCAGGUGAGCUUCUUUCUCUUUCUAACCUGCAUUCCCCCUAUGCUUUCUCUGGCUGUUCUUUACCCCCUCUGCCCCAACCCUCCAGCUCUUCGUAUUCCAGUUGCAUGUGAAUCUAAUUUUGCCCAAACACUAGAUACUGGCAUGCGUGUGCUGUGAGUCUCUCCAUUCAUUCAGAGUUCAGCUGCUGGAUAGUAGAUGUGUGUAGCAAUUUGAACCGUGUCCAC
ensembl:lncRNA